AUCGGGAAGUGUCAUAGUAUCACAGAAGGUAGUACAAGAUUGCAAUCCCGAACAGAAGCAGCAUGCUAUAACUCAACCAGUGCAAGGCAGCCAACCAAUGAUAAGUGCCGCACAGCCUCAAUUUGUUGUCCAGAACCAACUCCAGCAACCUCAAGUCAUUCUCCAGGCUCAGCCUCAGCAACCUCAAGUCAUUCUCCAGGCUCAAAUCCAGCAACAGCAGCCUUUGGUUCAAAACCACACAGUUCUACAUGGUGAUCUUCAACAAGCCCAGCUUCUACAGCAACAGGAACCACAUUUACAGCAGCAGCCACAACAGGUUCAGCAAUCAGUGCAGGAACAGCAGCAAAUAAAGAUACAACCUGUUCAGGUACUGAAUGGCACAAACGUGAUCACACAGCUUUCUGAUCAUCAAAUGAAAAUACAACUAUUGAAGGCUCUUCAGCCUCAG
rnacentral:lncRNA from 1 species